rnacentral:rRNA from 1 species
CCUUUAAAAAGUGCGUAACAGCUUACCAGUCAAGAUUUAGGGCGCUGAAAAUGGACGGGGCUAAAGCCUACUACAGAGACCACGGAGCACCGAAAGGUGAUCUCGUAGAGAGGCGUUCUGCAUGGGUAGAAGCUGGGGCGUAAGGUCCAGUGGACCGUGUAGAAUUGAGAAUUCUGGCAGUAGUAGAAGCAUAGUUGGGUGAGAAUCCCAACCGCCGCAGGGGCUAGGUUUCCUCGGCCAUGUUCGUCAGCCGAGGGUUAGUCGGUCCUAAGGUGCACCGUAACUCGAGUGUACCGAAAGGGAAACAGGUUAAUAUUCCUGUACCGUCCGUCUGUAGCGAAAGCCCUGACGCUUCGGGAUAUGUCAGGCGGGAUCGUCGUCCCGUCCAAGCGUAUAAUUCCGGGGAGUACCGUAAUGGUGAGAAGCGGAAGAAAGCGUGAUGGGGUAACUUGACAAAUUCCUGGAGCCCGUGAAAAGGGAGACGGCGUCCGUACCGAGAACCGACACAGGUGCCCCUCGCUGAAAAGGCGAAGGCGUGUCGGAAUAAUCGUGUUAAGGGAACUCGGCAAAAUGGCCCCGUAACUUCGGGAGAAGGGGUGCCUGCCUGGAGAUCAGGCAGGUCGCAGUGACCAGGGAGCUCUAACUGUCUAAUAACAACAUAGGUGACUGCAACUCGGAAACGACUAGUAUAGUCACUGAUUCCUGCCCAGUGCGAGUAUCUGAAUACCCGGUACAACGGGACGAAGGACUCGUAAACGGCGGGGGUAACUAUGACCCUCUUAAGGUAGCGUAGUACCUUGUCGCUUAAUUGGCGACUUGCAUGAAUGGAUUAAUGAGAGCUCUACUGUCCCUAACACAAGCCCGUUGAACCUUUUGUCCUAGUGCAGAGACUAGGGACUCCUAUUGGGAAGUGAAGACCCCGUGGAGCUUUACUGCAGCCUGUCGCUGAAUUAUGGUAUUACAUGCGCAGUGUAGAUGGGAGGCGCUUGAUCCGUUCCUUUCGGGGGACGGGGAGCCAACAAUGAGACACCAUCCUUGUUUUACUGUAGUUCUCACUCUUACGAGGACAACGAUAGGUAGGCAGUUUGGGUGGGGCGCCACACCCUCGAAAAAAUAUCAAGGGUGCCCCAAGGUCAACUCAUGUGAGUCAGAAACUCACAGAAGAGUGUCAAGAGCAUAAGUUGGCCUGACGCGAUCACGCAUAGCAAGUGAUCGCGAGAGGAAACUCGGGUCUAACGAACCAAUAUGCCCUUUUGGUGAGGGCUAUUGACUACAGAAAAGCUACCACGGGGAUAACAGAGUCGUCGCCGGCAAGAGCACAUAUCGACCCGGCGGCUUGCUACCUCGAUGUCGGUUCUUUCCAUCCUGGCUGUGCAGCAGCAGCCAAGGGUGAGGUUGUUCGCCUAUUAAAGGGGAUCGUGAGCUGGGUUUAGACCGUCGUGAGACAGGUCGGUUACUAUCUAAUAGGAGUGUCAGGAGUCUGAGGGUAAGAAUGGAAUAGUACGAGAGGAACUUCCAUUCGGCGCCUCUAGUCGAUCGGUUGUCCGACAGGGCAUUGCCGAGCAGCCACGCGCCAAGGGAUAAAAGCUGAAAGCAUCUAAGCUUGAAACCCGGCCUAAAAAGAGACUCCGUUACAGGACAUGAGUAAAAGACUCGUUUGA